rnacentral:tRNA from 2 species
GACAGCUUGGCCGAGCGGUUAAGGCGGCAGAUUUAAGUUUCUUGACACUUGAUCUCUGCUCUCGAAAGAGUCGUGAGUUCGAACCUCACAGCUGUCA